rnacentral:rRNA from 1 species
GAUGAACGCUGGCGGCGUGCCUAAUACAUGCAAGUCGAGCGAACAGACGAGGAGCUUGCUCCUCUGACGUUAGCGGCGGACGGGUGAGUAACACGUGGAUCACCUACCUAUCAGACUGGUAUAACUUCGGGAAACCGGCGCUAAUACCGGAUAAUCUCUUGAUGCAUAUGGUUCAAUAGUGAAAGACGGUUUUGCUGUCACUUAUAGAUGGAUACGGGCCGCAUUAGCUAGUUGGUAAGGUCACGGCUUACCAAGGCAACGAGGCGUAGCCGACCUGAGAGGGGGAUCGGCCACACUGGAACUGAGACACGGUCCAGACUCCUACGGGAGGCAGCAGUAGGGAAUCUUCCGCAAUGGGCGAAAGCCUGACGGAGCAACGCCGCGUGAGUGAUGAAGGUCUUCGGAUCGUAAAACUCUGCUAUUAGGGAAGAACAAAUGUGUAAGUAACUAUGCACGUCUUGACGGUACCUAGUCAGAAAGCCACGGCUAACUACGUG